rnacentral:rRNA from 1 species
GCUCAAAUUUGAAAUCUGGCCCUUGGGUCCGAAUUGUAAUUUGUAGAGGAUGAUUUUGGUGCGGUAUCUUCCGAGUUCCUUGGAACAGGACGCCUUAGAGGGUGAGAGCCCCGUACGGUUGAAUGCCUAGCCUCUGUAAAUCUCCUUCGACGAGUCGAGUAGUUUGGGAAUGCUGCUCUAAAUGGGAGGUAAAUUUCUUCUAAAGCUAAAUACUGGCCAGAGACCGAUAGCGCACAAGUAGAGUGAUCGAAAGAUGAAAAGCACUUUGAAAAGAGGGUUAAAUAGCACGUGAAAUUGUUGAAAGGGAAGGAUUUAUGACCAGACUUUUUCUGGGCGGAUCAUCCGGUGUUCUCACCGGUGCACUUUGCCCAGUUUAGGCCAGCAUCGAUUUUUGGAGAGGGAUAAAAGCUUUAGGAAUGUGGCUCCUCCGGGAGUGUUAUAGCCUAUUGUAUAAUACCUUUCCGGGGAUCGAGGUACGCGCUUCUGCAAGGAUGCUGGCGUAAUGGUUAUCAAUCACCCGUCUUGAAACACGGACCAAGGAGUCGAACAUUUGUGCGAGUGUUUGGGUGUUAAACCCUCACGCGUAAUGAAAGUGAACGGAGGUGAGAGCCCUUACGGGUGCAUCAUCGACCGAUCCUGAAGUUUUCGGAUGGAUUUGAGUAAGAGCAUAACUGUUCGGACCCGAAAGAUGGUGAACUAUGCGUGGAUAGGGUGAAGCCAGAGGAAACUCUGG